GAUGAACGCUGGCGGCGUGCCUAAUACAUGCAAGUCGAGCGAACGGACGAGAAGCUUGCUUCUCUGAUGUUAGCGGCGGACGGGUGAGUAACACGUGGAUAACCUACCUAUAAGACUGGGAUAACUUCGGGAAACCGGAGCUAAUACCGGAUAAUAUUUUGAACCGCAUGGUUCAAAAGUGAAAGACGGUCUUGCUGUCACUUAUAGAUGGAUCCGCGCUGCAUUAGCUAGUUGGUAAGGUAACGGCUUACCAAGGCAACGAUGCAUAGCCGACCUGAGAGGGUGAUCGGCCACACUGGAACUGAGACACGGUCCAGACUCCUACGGGAGGCAGCAGUAGGGAAUCUUCCGCAAUGGGCGAAAGCCUGACGGAGCAACGCCGCGUGAGUGAUGAAGGUCUUCGGAUCGUAAAACUCUGUUAUUAGGGAAGAACAUACGUGUAAGUAACUGUGCACAUCUUGACGGUACCUAAUCAGAAAGCCACGGCUAACUACGUGCCAGCAGCCGCGGUAAUACGUAGGUGGCAAGCGUUAUCCGGAAUUAUUGGGCGUAAAGCGCGCGUAGGCGGUUUUUUAAGUCUGAUGUGAAAGCCCACGGCUCAACCGUGGAGGGUCAUUGGAAACUGGAAAACUUGAGUGCAGAAGAGGAAAGUGGAAUUCCAUGUGUAGCGGUGAAAUGCGCAGAGAUAUGGAGGAACACCAGUGGCGAAGGCGACUUUCUGGUCUGUAACUGACGCUGAUGUGCGAAAGCGUGGGGAUCAAACAGGAUUAGAUACCCUGGUAGUCCACGCCGUAAACGAUGAGUGCUAAGUGUUAGGGGGUUUCCGCCCCUUAGUGCUGCAGCUAACGCAUUAAGCACUCCGCCUGGGGAGUACGACCGCAAGGUUGAAACUCAAAGGAAUUGACGGGGACCCGCACAAGCGGUGGAGCAUGUGGUUUAAUUCGAAGCAACGCGAAGAACCUUACCAAAUCUUGACAUCCUUUGACAACUCUAGAGAUAGAGCCUUCCCCUUCGGGGGACAAAGUGACAGGUGGUGCAUGGUUGUCGUCAGCUCGUGUCGUGAGAUGUUGGGUUAAGUCCCGCAACGAGCGCAACCCUUAAGCUUAGUUGCCAUCAUUAAGUUGGGCACUCUAAGUUGACUGCCGGUGACAAACCGGAGGAAGGUGGGGAUGACGUCAAAUCAUCAUGCCCCUUAUGAUUUGGGCUACACACGUGCUACAAUGGACAAUACAAAGGGCAGCGAAACCGCGAGGUCAAGCAAAUCCCAUAAAGUUGUUCUCAGUUCGGAUUGUAGUCUGCAACUCGACUACAUGAAGCUGGAAUCGCUAGUAAUCGUAGAUCAGCAUGCUACGGUGAAUACGUUCCCGGGUCU
rnacentral:rRNA from 1 species